UACAGAGGUCCCAAGCGUUGUUCGGAUUCACUGGGCGUAAAGGGUGCGUAGGUGGUGGGGUAAGUUUGAUGUGAAAGCUCCGAGCUUAACUCGGAAAUGGCAUUGAAUACUAUCCUGCUAGAGGUUUGGAGGGGGGACUGGAAUUCUCGGUGUAGCAGUGAAAUGCGUAGAUAUCGAGAGGAACACCAGUGGCGAAGGCGAGUCCCUGGACAACACCUGACACUGAGGCACGAAAGCUAGGGGAGCAAACAGG
rnacentral:rRNA from 1 species